AUAAAUAAAAGUACUUGGAAUAAUUUUUAUUCUAUGCUUCCAAUUAGAUGAUUUUACUUUUAGUUCAGAUAAAAAAUUCUCUUUGUAACUAAAGUAAAUGGCAGUGUUAGAUACUGGCCUGUCAGCCUGACGUUGUUAUUAUUAUUGAUCUUUUGUUCUGCGCUCUUGUUUGUUUCCCCAGACUUUCUCGGGUGUUGUUGACCCUGCUGAUGUUGCUGACCUCCUCGAAGCUGACACAACAGUUUUUGAGCUGAUUCAGUUGGUCCCUCCAGAGGGUGAAAUCUUGGCCACGAUGGAGAAAAACAGCAGAGAUUUCCUGUACCCUGACCCCACAAUGUUUGACCGAGGGAGAGAUGCAGAGCGAGAAAUCUUGAUGAAAAGAUCACCCACCUUUCCUGUAAGCUGUUUUAAUUCAAGUACAUUAUUUUACUUUUUAUCUUGUGUAACACACUCCAGAAUGU